rnacentral:rRNA from 1 species
GAUAUCCUGCGGGGGGCAGCAGUGGGGAAUAUUGCACAAUGGGGGAAACCCUGAUGCAGCAACGCCGCGUGAGUGAAGAAGUAUUUCGGUAUGUAAAGCUCUAUCAGCAGGGAAGAAGGAAGACGGUACCUGACUAAGAAGCCCCGGCUAACUACGUGCCAGCAGCCGCGGUAAUACGUAGGGGGCAAGCGUUAUCCGGAUUUACUGGGUGUAAAGGGAGCGUAGACGGCAGCGCAAGUCUGAAGUGAAAUCCCAUGGCUUAACCAUGGAACUGCUUUGGAAACUGUGCAGCUGGAGUGCAGGAG